UACAGAGGGGGCAAGCGUUGUUCGGAAUCACUGGGCGUAAAGCGCACGUAGGCGGAUUGUUAAGUCAGGGGUGAAAUCCUGGAGCUCAACUCCAGAACUGCCUUUGAUACUGGCGAUCUUGAGUCCGGGAGAGGUGAGUGGAACUGCGAGUGUAGAGGUGAAAUUCGUAGAUAUUCGCAAGAACACCAGUGGCGAAGGCGGCUCACUGGCCCGGUACUGACGCUGAGGUGCGAAAGCGUGGGGAGCAAACAGG
rnacentral:rRNA from 1 species